rnacentral:rRNA from 1 species
UACGAAGGGGGCUAGCGUUGCUCGGAAUUACUGGGCGUAAAGCGCACGUAGGCGGAUCUUUAAGUCAGGGGUGAAAUCCUGGAGCUCAACUCCAGAACUGCCUUUGAUACUGAGGACCUUGAGUUCGGGAGAGGUGAGUGGAACUGCGAGUGUAGAGGUGAAAUUCGUAGAUAUUCGCAAGAACACCAGUGGCGAAGGCGGCUCACUGGCCCGAUACUGACGCUGAGGCGCGACAGCGUGGGGAGCAAACAGG